UACGUAGGGUGCGAGCGUUGUCCGGAAUUAUUGGGCGUAAAGAGCUUGUAGGUGGUUUGUCGCGUCUGCUGUGAAAAUCCGGGGCUCAACCCCGGACUUGCAGUGGGUACGGGCAGACUAGAGUGUGGUAGGGGAGACUGGAAUUCCUGGUGUAGCGGUGGAAUGCGCAGAUAUCAGGAGGAACACCGAUGGCGAAGGCGGCAUCCUGGACCAAUAUUGACGCUGAGGAGCGAAAGCCAGGGGAGCAAACGGG
rnacentral:rRNA from 1 species